AUUGAACGCUGGCGGCAGGCCUAACACAUGCAAGUCGAGCGGUAACAGUUUCUAGCUUGCUAGAAGAUGACGAGCGGCGGACGGGUGAGUAACGCGUAGAAAUCUACCUAGUAGUGGGGGAUAGCCCAGAGAAAUUUGGAUUAAUACCGCAUACGCCCUACGGGGGAAAGCGGGGGAUCUUCGGACCUCGUGCUAUUAGAUGAGUCUGCGUCGGAUUAGUUUGUUGGUAGGGUAAUGGCCUACCAAGGCGACGAUCCGUAGCUGGUCUGAGAGGAUGACCAGCCACACUGGAACUGAGACACGGUCCAGACUCCUACGGGAGGCAGCAGUGGGGAAUAUUGCACAAUGGGCGCAAGCCUGAUGCAGCCAUGCCGCGUGUGUGAAGAAGGCCUUAGGGUUGUAAAGCACUUUCAGCAGUGAGGAAAGGGGUGUCGUUAAUAGCGCCAUCCUGUGACGUUAACUGCAGAAGAAGGACCGGCUAACUCCGUG
rnacentral:rRNA from 1 species